UUUUGUGCAUUUUCCUUGAUAAUCAAGCAAGUAGAGUCAUAAUUCCAUUUGUUUCAUUAUAUUUGAAUCACAAUAUGAUUUUUUUCUCCAAAUCGUGCAGCCCUAAUACACAUGCAUGCAUUCUUUAUUUCAUUCAAUGUUCCUAAACUCAUUACAUCAGAAAAUAACAAACUGCAUAAUAUCAAACAUAACUUACAUAGCCGUUUCCCUCCAGAUCCUUAACGCUGCCCCGGCUUUGCGUAGACACGGCGCGUCCUCCUCGGGGUCAAGGUGUCCCGCGAUCCGCCUCGUCAGCACAAGCGGGACAGUAGGGGAGCGCGCAGCUUUUGCAGAGAAAUUUCAUGCACCCGCGGCAGACGGUGUGCGUUUUGCGAUCCCUUUUCAGCGGGCACAACUGACACCUCUUUCUCUUGCCGGCCGCCCGCGGGAGGAGGCCGCUGCGGCCGCUGCGUGUGGCGGGUGGAUAGUGCCACGGAUAACCUACCAAAGGAGACCGUCGUGUGACAGCUAACUAUGGCGGGUGCUUGCAUGCUGAUGGAACUGUCUGCUGUGUGCAGGUAGUGUAUCACGGUUAAACACAAUGCUCCCUUGAUUGUUUUAGAGCGAAUCGUUGCUGUGCGGGCUGUCUCGAUCUGGCCUUUGGCUGGUUAUGUGUGUGCGCUGGGGAACCGUGGGGCUCUUGGUGUGCAGCAGUCUCUGUGAGCAUCUCCCUCUUGUUUUCUCAUAGCAGCCAGCCUUGACAGCAGUUGCAGCUACAGCAGUCACAGAUCACCUCCAGUAGUACCAGCAGCAGCAACAGCAACUGUUCCCUAUUCUUCAUGAGGAUAAACCCAGGUGAUGGAACCAAAUGCACCGCAAAAACUGGAGUGAGUCCUAGGACAGGAGAAAUGGUGAAGCGGAAGAUGCAGUCAUCAACAACUGUGUCAUCCUUUGUCCACCAGCUAACAGAGUUUGAGUAGAAGAACUUGGAUUAGGGGAGCCUUCCAUCCCUGAACAAGCUGUGAACAACAGACUGCUUGCCAGAAAUGUGCAGCGGUGAAAGCGUGUGGUUUGUAUUACGUUACAUGACUGGUACAGCCCAGAGAAUAUUUCUUUUUAUAUGUACUUAAAGAGUUUAAGAGUUGGAUAUUUCACUCAUAUUCAGACAAUGUUUUGUAUUUUGUACCAAAAAAGCACAGUAUCUAUUGUUACUGUUAUUUCCUAUGUUAAUGUAGUUAAUGAUUAUUUGUAAAAAAAAAAAAAAGCAUUCCAGUCUGCAGAUGAGUAUAUUCUUUGUGUUCUUCUGUUGUUGUUAAAUAUACAACUAUAUAUAGUUCUGUAUGCCGUGCAUUGUGUUUUGACAGUAACAUUGAAUGCACUUAUAAUUGAGGUAAGGUUUAUACAUGUAAUUUCUUUUAUGUUAUUUUAAAUGAAUUUCUGAAAAUAACAUUUCUUGUA